CUCACGAAGCCUUCUGAUGACUGUUUAAUAGCUCAUUAUGGACCGUUUGGAGUUGACUACCUACCAAGGAAAGCCAUCAAAUGAGUGUGCGCCGCAUGUCCAUUGCAGACAGCAGUUAUCUUCUCCAGGUGUAUGAGUUAAAAUAGCAUCAUUCGGAGAGCAUGGAAGAUCGGACGGUGGCGAGUUCGGUACAGGUGCAGGAACCGUUAUUCGUACAUAUUACAGUUUCUGGACAACAGUGAGGAGGAUUUGGUACAAAAUCAUGCGGCUUUGUUUCCCAUGAU